AUAAAGCUGUGGCCGUUGCCCUUACCCAUAAAGAAGGUGUUGUGUAUUUAUUGGGCAACGGGUGGUGGGAGUUUUGGUCUGGGGUCAGCAGUCAAGUGAUUUAUUUAGUGAUUUCCAGUGGCAGAGUAAACCCUUUCACUGGAUGGCAGCAGAUUGCAGAAUAUGGACAAUGUAGGGUCAGAAAAAUAUGUACAUGUUCAGCUAGGAGUAGACAUUAUAAAUUUGAGAUGAUUAACCUGUGCCAUGUCAGAAGGUGUGAAAAGUUCUUGCCCCAAAGACACUGAACUGAGCUACUCCGGGCGAGAAUAUAACAUUCCAUUUCCUGUUCACUCGCGGACAGAAGAGGCGUGGGAAUGUCUGUACUCACGAGUGUACUUAAAGUGAGUGUAUUUAAAGCGGGGUAUGUCUGUAAUGUGGUGAAUGAAGGCUGAGAUGACAGAGCUCAUAUCACAUCCUGUUUUAACACUGGUGGCAAUGGACAGGAAAUAGUCUGUGCCUCUGUAAUGCUGGUGGGCCUUCCAACUUUCUCACCCGCCAGCCACUGCAGCCGCUCUAUGUGGGUUGUGGCUUACAGGGAAUGGGAGGUGCUCCAUGUCUGUCAUCUGGCCUGCCUCCCCUCUAGAGGCCAUUCA